GACGAACGCUGGCGGCGUGCCUAAUACAUGCAAGUAGAACGCUGAAGAGAGGAGCUUGCUCUUCUUGGAUGAGUUGCGAACGGGUGAGUAACGCGUAGGUAACCUGCCUGGUAGCGGGGGAUAACUAUUGGAAACGAUAGCUAAUACCGCAUGACAUUGAUUAUCGCAUGAUAAUUAAUUGAAAGAUGCAAUUGCAUCACUACCAGAUGGACCUGCGUUGUAUUAGCUAGUUGGUGAGGUAACGGCUCACCAAGGCGACGAUACAUAGCCGACCUGAGAGGGUGAUCGGCCACACUGGGACUGAGACACGGCCCAGACUCCUACGGGAGGCAGCAGUAGGGAAUCUUCGGCAAUGGGGGAACCCUGACCGAGCAACGCCGCGUGAGUGAAGA
rnacentral:rRNA from 1 species